GCUGUGGCACCACAAUUUAUAGCUCAGCUGGUAGAGCAUGAGAUUCUUAAUCUCAAGGUUGUGGGUUUCAGCCCCACGUCGAGCA